rfam:Schistosoma mansoni strain Puerto Rico chromosome 1, complete genome
AUCCAGCUGACGAGUCCAAAAUAGGACGAAACGCAAGCCCUGGAU